rnacentral:rRNA from 1 species
AGAGUUUGAUCCUGGCUCAGAUUGAACGCUGGCGGCAUGCCUUACACAUGCAAGUCGAACGGCAGCACGGGAGCAAUCCUGGUGGCGAGUGGCGAACGGGUGAGUAAUAUAUCGGAACGUGCCCAGUCGUGGGGGAUAACGUAGCGAAAGCUACGCUAAUACCGCAUACGAUCUAUGGAUGAAAGCGGGGGAUCGCAAGACCUCGCGCGAUUGGAGCGGCCGAUAUCAGAUUAGCUAGUUGGUGGGGUAAAAGCCCACCAAGGCGACGAUCUGUAGCUGGUCUGAGAGGACGACCAGCCACACUGGAACUGAGACACGGUCCAGACUCCUACGGGAGGCAGCAGUGGGGAAUUUUGGACAAUGGGCGCAAGCCUG